rnacentral:rRNA from 1 species
ACCCAAUGUGAACGUUACCAAACUGUUGCCUCGGCGGGAUCUCUGCCCCGGGUGCGUCGCAGCCCCGGACCAAGGCGCCCGCCGGAGGACCAACCAAAACUCUUAUUGUAUACCCCCUCGCGGGUUUUUUUAUAAUCUGAGCCUUCUCGGCGCCUCUCGUAGGCGUUUCGAAAAUGAAUCAAAACUUUCAACAACGGAUCUCUUGGUUCUGGCAUCGAUGAAGAACGCAGCGAAAUGCGAUAAGUAAUGUGAAUUGCAGAAUUCAGUGAAUCAUCGAAUCUUUGAACGCACAUUGCGCCCGCCAGUAUUCUGGCGGGCAUGCCUGUCCGAGCGUCAUUUCAACCCUCGAACCCCUCCGGGGGGUCGGCGUUGGGGAUCGGCCCUCCCUUAGCGGGUGGCCGUCUCCGAAAUACAGUGGCGGUCUCGCCGCAGCCUCUCCUGCGCAGUAGUUUGCACACUCGCAUCGGGAGCGCGGCGCGUCCACAGCCGUUAAACACCCAACUUCUGAAAUGUUGACCUCGGAUCAGGUAGGAAUACCCGCUGAACUUAAGCAUAUCAAUAAGCGGAGAGAA